GCGACGAUCAGUAGCUGGUCUGAGAGGAUGAUCAGCCACACUGGGACUGAGACACGGGCCAGACUCCUACGGGAGGCAGCAGUGGGGAAUUUUCCGCAAUGGGCGCAAGCCUGACGGAGCAAGACCGCGUGAGGGAAGAAGGUCUGUGGAUUGUAAACCUCUUUUGAUAGGGAAGAAGACAGUGACGGUACCUAUCGAAUCAGCCUCGGCUAACUCCGUGCCAGCAGCCGCGGUAAUACGGAGGAGGCAAGCGUUAUCCGGAAUUAUUGGGCGUAAAGAGUCCGUAGGUGGGUAACCAAGUCAGCUGUUAAAUAGUGAAGCUUAACUUCAUAGAGGCGGCUGAAACUGGUUGUCUAGAGUGUGGUAGGGGUAGAGGGAAUUUCCAGUGUAGCGGUGAAAUGCGUAGAUA
rnacentral:rRNA from 1 species